AGAGUUUGAUCCUGGCUCAGGAUGAACGCUGGCGGCGUGCCUAAUACAUGCAAGUCGAGCGAACAGACGAGGAGCUUGCUCCUCUGACGUUAGCGGCGGACGGGUGAGUAACACGUGGAUAACCUACCUAUAAGACUGGGAUAACUUCGGGAAACCGGAGCUAAUACCGGAUAACAUGUUGAACCGCAUGGUUCAACAGUGAAAGACGGUCUUGCUGUCACUUAUAGAUGGAUCCGCGCCGCAUUAGCUAGUUGGUAAGGUAACGGCUUACCAAGGCAACGAUGCGUAGCCGACCUGAGAGGGUGAUCGGCCACACUGGAACUGAGACACGGUCCAGACUCCUACGGGAGGCAGCAGUAGGGAAUCUUCCGCAAUGGGCGAAAGCCUGACGGAGCAACGCCGCGUGAGUGAAGAAGGUCUUCGGAUCGUAAAACUCUGUUAUUAGGGAAGAACAAAUGUGUAAGUAACUAUGCACGUCUUGACGGACCUAAUCAGAAAGCCACG
rnacentral:rRNA from 1 species